rnacentral:RNase_P_RNA from 2 species
GGAGCAGGCCAGGCGAUCGCCGGUUCGGCAUUGUCGGAUCGGAGGAAAGUCCGAACACCACAGGGCAGGGUGCUCCAUAACGUGGAGUCGCGGUGACGCGAAGGCAAGUGCAACAGAAAGCAAACCGCCUCGCUUCGGCGGGGUAAGGGUGAAACGGUGCGGUAAGAGCGCACCAGUUCUCCGGGCGACCGGGGAAGCUAGGUAAACCCCACCCGGUGCAAGACCAAAUAGGGGAGUGCUUGAGGGCGGCCCGUCCGAGCUCCCGGGUAGGUCGCACGAGGCGUCGGGCAACCGGCGCCCUAGAGGAAUGAUCGCCAUCCCGGCAAGGGUAACCGUGUCGGGAAACAGAAUUCGGCUUACGGCCUGCUCCGGCC